rnacentral:rRNA from 1 species
AACAUCCUACAUCCUAAUAUUUUUCCUAAUUUUUAAAUAAAAGUCAAUUCACAAAUAUAUAAUCCCAAAUAUACACUCCUUAAGUACUGCAAAGGAAAAACUACAUUAUUUUAAAGUAAAACUAAAAUCUUCUACCUUGUGCAUCAUGGCUUAGCAAGUCAAUUCUAAUUACAGCCUAUCCCGAAAUCUUCACGAGCUGAUAAAAAUUUGUUUAGCACCCACUAUUGUAUGUUUCAAAAUACUUAGAAAAAUUUUAUCAGAAGCUACAUACUUCCCGCGUAAGACUAUAGCUGGUUCCCCAAAAACUUCACAUUAGUGAAGCAAGAUUUAUUCUCUAAUAUAUAAUAAAGGAAAAGCUCUAUUAUUUCAGCUAACCCAAAUAACCAUUCUCUAAAGUAAGCUUAGAAACUGCUAACUUUUAAAUAACGUUAUAGUAUAAAUAUAAAAUAAACAAAAUUCUAUUCUGUGUUGCUAAUCUUUAUUGGGGAUUUUUUAUCAACUUCUCUAUCUAUAAAUUCUGCUAAGAUUAGUAUCUAUUACAUACAACCAUAUCUAUAAAACAAAAAUCAUCCUAUAAACAAAAUUCUUUAUUAUAAGGAACUCGGCAAACAUAAGCUCCGACUGUUUAACAAAAACAUUGCCUCCCGAUUCUAUAAUGAGAGGUUCAUCCUGCCCAAUGACUUUAAGUUUAAUGGCCGCGGUACCCUGACCGUGCAAAGGUAGCAUAAUCACUUGCCCCUUAAUUAGGGGCUGGCAUGAAAGGACACACGAAAGCUUCCCUGUCUCAUAAUAACUAAUAAAAAUUAAUCUUUAAGUGAAAAAGCUUAAAUAUAAUUGCAGGACAAGAAGACCCCGUUGAGCUUCAUUCUUAAUAGAUUAACCCAAAUAUUUAUAUAUUUUAAACCUAAAAAAGAAUUUAGUUGGGGUGACUAAGGAACAUCAAAAACUUCCUUUUAAUAUCCAGGGUUCUCUCCCAAAAAAUUUGACCCAUAAAGCAUGAUAAAAAAAAUAAGCUACCACAGGGAUAACAGGCUAAUCUUUCUUAAGAGCCCAAAUUGUCAGAAAGGAUUGGCACCUCGAUGUUGGCUUAGGGGCCCCUAAUGGUGCAGAAGCCAUAAAAGGUAGGUUUGUUCAACCUUUAAAACCCUACAUGAGCUGAGUUCAGACCGGCGCAAGCCAGGUUAGUUUCUAUCCUCAACCUUAAUCACUUACAUAAUAGUACGAAAGGACCUUACUGUAAUAAAAUCUUUAAACCAAUGAAAACAUAUAAAUCCUUUUAAACUCCUUCUAUAAACCAAAAUUU